UACGUAGGGUGCGAGCGUUGUCCGGAAUUAUUGGGCGUAAAGAGCUUGUAGGCGGUCUGUCGCGUCUGCUGUGAAAAUCCGGGGCUCAACCCCGGACUUGCAGUGGGUACGGGCAGACUAGAGUGUGGUAGGGGAGACUGGAAUUCCUGGUGUAGCGGUGAAAUGCGUAGAUAUCAGGAGGAACACCGGUGGCGAAGGCGGGUCUCUGGGCAGUAACUGACGCUGAGGAGCGAAAGCGUGGGGAGCGAACAGG
rnacentral:rRNA from 1 species